rnacentral:rRNA from 1 species
AACGGUGAAGCCCAGCUUGCUGGGUGGAUCAGUGGCGAACGGGUGAGUAACACGUGAGCAACCUGCCCUCCACUUCGGGAUAAGCCUUGGAAACGGGGUCUAAUACCGGAUAUGAGCCUGCAUCGCAUGGUGUGGGUUGGAAAGUUUUUCGGUGGGGGAUGGGCUCGCGGCCUAUCAACUUGUUGGUGGGGUGAUGGCCUACCAAGGCGUCGACGGGUAGCCGGCCUGAGAGGGCGACCGGCCACACUGGGACUGAGACACGGCCCAGACUCCUACGGGAGGCAGCAGUGGGGAAUAUUGCACAAUGGGCGAAAGCCUGAUGCAGCGACGCCGCGUGAGGGAUGACGGCCUUCGGGUUGUAAACCUCUUUCAGCAGGGAAGAAGGCUUCGGUUGACGGUACCUGCAGAAGAAGCGCCGGCUAACUACGUGCCAGCAGCCGCGGUAAUACGUAGGGCGCAAGCGUUGUCCGGAAUUAUUGGGCGUAAAGAGCUCGUAGGCGGUCUGUCGCGUCUGGUGUGAAAACCCGAGGCUCAACCUCGGGCUUGCAUCGGGUACGGGCAGACUAGAGUGCGGUAGGGGAGACUGGAAUUCCUGGUGUAGCGGUGGAAUGCGCAGAUAUCAGGAGGAACACCGAUGGCGAAGGCAGGUCUCUGGGCCGCAACUGACGCUGAGGAGCGAAAGCAUGGGGAGCGAACAGGAUUAGAUACCCUGGUAGUCCAUGCCGUAAACGUUGGGCACUAAGGUGUGGGGCUCAUUCCACGAGUUCCGUGCCGCAGCUAACGCAUUAAGUGCCCCGCCUGGGGGAGUACGGCCGCAAGGCUAAAACUCAAAGGAAUUUGACGGGGGCCCGCACAAGCGGCGGAGCAUGCCGGAUUAAUUCGAUGCAACGCGAAGAACCUUACCAAGGCUUGACAUGCACCGGAC